rnacentral:rRNA from 1 species
AGCAGCCGCGGUAAUUCCAGCUCCAAUAGCGUAUAUUAAAGUUGUUGCAGUUAAAAAGACUCGUAGUUGAAUUUCGGGACUAAUAUGUCGGUCGUACUUUGUACGUACUAGCAUUAUUGGUUUCUCCCUUCUGACGAACCACGAUGUCAUUAAUUUGGUGUCAUGGGAAAUCAGGACUGUUACUUUGAAAAAUUAGAGUGUUUAAAGCAAGCUCGUGCUUGAAUACAUUAGCAUGGAAUAAUGAAAUAGGACGUUUGAUUCUAUUUUGUUGGUUUCUAGGAUCGACGUAAUGAUUAAUAGGGAUAGUUGGGGGCAUUAGUAUUCAAUUGUCAGAGGUGAAAUUCUUGGAUUUAUUGAAGACUAACUACUGCGAAAGCAUUUGCCAAGGAUGUUUUCAUUAAUCAAGAACGAAAGUUAGGGAAUCGAAGACGAUCAGAUACCGUCGUAGUC